AAAACGACUCUCGGCAACGGAUAUCUCGGCUCACGCAUCGAUGAAGAACGUAGCAAAAUGCGAUACUUGGUGUGAAUUGCAGAAUCCCGUGAACCAUCGAGUUUUUGAACGCAAGUUGCGCCCAAAGCCAUCCGGUUGAGGGCACGUCUGCCUGGGCGUCACC
rnacentral:rRNA from 1 species